GGUUGACCUGAGAACACACUUUGAGAUAGCCCGCUCCUAGACCUGGAAUUUCCUUUCCUUCACAUAGAGAGAAGAAGAUCACAGGGGAGAAUAGAAAAGAGAUGAUGAGCUCAGAGUUGGAGAUAUUAACCAACUUGGCUGAAGUUUGGAUACUCAACACGGGCAGAGCAUCUUCCUUAGAAGGAUAAACUAAGAAAAAAAAACAGUUUGGAACUUGAGUCUGGAAACUGUAGGCUCAGAGGAGAGAUGAUCCAGGAACAUAAAGUCAUGGAUGUACACUGCGACUAGAUUUUGGAGUAUGAGAACCAGGAGUGCAGAAAAGGCCUGAAGAACCUUGAGAGCCCAGACACUGAUUUUCCAGAGAAGGACACACAUCCUUUUGAAACUUGAGAACAAGCAUAAGUAAAUAAAAUGGGAUGCGAUUUGCCGCAGAGAGCUCACCUUGGAGCUUCCUUUGCUGAGAGAAGACAGAAGCUGAAAAAAGUUUCAUGCAACGGAUGUAGUGCCUUAGUGAAAUGGCUCACCUUUUGAAAUGGAGCUAUCAAAUUGGUGGCAUUGCCAAUAAAGAUUAAGUGUUCAGAGGAGGAGUAAGUAUCUUGAAGUGGAGAUUGAAAUUGAUUCGUGGAAGAGAUGCUCUCAGCUGGAAAGAAAGGGGAUUCUCAUGGUUCAAAGUGACUACUGGAGCUUCAGCUGUUAAGUUCAUAUUCCAGCCAGUAGAAAGGAGAAGAGAAGGAGAAGGAGAAUGAUAUGCUUCCUGCCUUUAAGGAUGCUCCCUGGAAGCUGUACAAUCAACUUCUGCCUCUAACGUAUGGGCCACAGAGGUCCUUGUCUACACCAUUGGAUUUAGCUCCAAAUCCAGUCUAUCUUGCCCUGUUUACUGUGGACUCAUGCAUGCUAGUCCAACUACAUUAACCGAAAUAAAUUUAAAGUAUGUGAUAUGGGCAGCUUCAAAGGAAAAGAAGUUACCAAAAGAGAAAGAGGAAGAGACUGGAGAGAAGAUGGCGAUGGUGCAUGCUUGUGUGGCACUGUGUUUAUCUGGAGAAGCAUUAAAAAAAGAAUAUGGGAAGAAUCAGUUGAUGAGUCUGACAUGGAAAGAAGCUUCGGGAAGCAGCCAUCAACCAGAGAGGAGGGAACAAAAAUAAGGGUUUGUGGAUGAGGGAGAAAAUAUUCCUAGUGAUGUGAAUUAGCAAUGAAGAAUCCAUCCUGAAGCAGGGCUUAGGUGUAUCUGUGAAACACAAUUACAUAACAAAACCAUUAAAAG
rnacentral:lncRNA from 1 species